rnacentral:rRNA from 1 species
AUUGAACGCUGGCGGCAUGCCUUACACAUGCAAGUCGAACGACGCUAGGGGCAACUCUAGCGAGUGGCGAACGGGUGAGUAAUGCAUCGGAACGUGCCCUCUUGUGGGGGAUAACCAGUCGAAAGAUUGGCUAAUACCGCAUGAGCUCGAGAGAGUAAAGCGGGGGACCGCAAGGCCUCGCGCGAGAGGAGCGGCCGAUGCCCGAUUAGCUAGUUGGUGGGGUAAUGGGCCACCAAGGCGACGAUCGGUAGCUGGUCUGAGAGGACGACCAGCCACACUGGGACUGAGACACGGCCCAGACUCCUACGGGAGGCAGCAGUGGGGAAUUUUGGACAAUGGGGGCAACCCUGAUCCAGCCAUGCCGCGUGUGUGAAGAAGGCCUUCGGGUUGUAAAGCACCUUCGGACGGAACGAAAUCGCGCGGGUGAACAAUCCGCGUGGAUGACGGUACCGUAAGAAGAAGCACCGGCUAACUACGUGCCAGCCGCCGCAGUAACAC